GAUUCUUUGUUUUUUUGUCCCAGAUUUGCAUCCUUGGAUCCUAGUUUGAGUGGUAAAAGUGCAGAACCAGUAUAUCGUGAUGCAAAAGGGAAAGCUAUUUCAAAGGAAGAGCUACUGAAACCAAAGGAGGAAGAGAAACCAAAGUUUACAAAUCUCAAGUACUCCAGAGUUGAAAUUGAUGAAGUGCGGUUCGAGUGGG